rnacentral:rRNA from 1 species
AUUGGACCUGAUAUCAGGCAAGAUUACCCGCUGAACUUAACAA